rnacentral:rRNA from 1 species
GACGAACGCUGGCGGCGUGCUUAACACAUGCAAGUCGAACGGAAAGGCCCUGCUUUUGUGGGGUGCUCGAGUGGCGAACGGGUGAGUAACACGUGAGUAACCUGCCCUUGACUUUGGGAUAACUUCAGGAAACUGGGGCUAAUACCGGAUAGGAGCUCCUGCUGCAUGGUGGGGGUUGGAAAGUUUCGGCGGUUGGGGAUGGACUCGCGGCUUAUCAGCUUGUUGGUGGGGUAGUGGCUUACCAAGGCUUUGACGGGUAGCCGGCCUGAGAGGGUGACCGGCCACAUUGGGACUGAGAUACGGCCCAGACUCCUACGGGAGGAAGCAGUGGGGAAUAUUGCACAAUGGGCGGAAGCCUGAUGCAGCAACGCCGCGUGCGGGAUGACGGCCUUCGGGUGGUAAACCGCUUUCGCCUGUGACGAAGCGUGAGUGACGGUAAUGGGUAAAGAAACACCGGCUAACUACGU